AGAGUUUGAUUCUGGCUCAGAACGAACGCUGGCAGCGUGGAUUAGGCAUGCAAGUCGAACGAGAAGCCCUGGUCUCAAUCUUCGGAGAGAAACCAGGGUGGACAGUGGCGGAAGGGUGAGUAACGCGUGGGCAAUUUGCCUCCGAAUUGGGGACAACUCCGCGAAAGCGGGGCUAAUACCGAAUAUGGUCUCCUGUCGCAUGACGGGAAGAUUAAAGAUGGGGAUUCUUCGGAACCUGUCGUCUGGAGAGGAGCCCGCGUACGAUCAGCUUGUUGGUGAGGUAACGGCUCACCAAGGCUUUGACCGUUAGCCGGCCUGAGAGGGUGAUCGGCCACACUGGGACUGAGACACUGCCCAGACUCCUACGGGAGGCUGCAGUCGAGGAUCAUUCGCAAUGCGCGAAAGCGUGACGAUGCGACGCUGCGUGUAGGAUGACGGCCUUCGGGUUGUAAACUACUGUCAUGAGGGAAAAACCAGCGAUGGGACAAUACCUCAUCGCUCUGAUGGUACCUCAAGAGGAAGCCACGGCUAACUCUGUGCCAGCAGCCGCGGUAAUACAGAGGUGGCUAGCGUUGUUCGGAUUUACUGGGCGUAAAGCGUGCGUAGGCGGUUCCGUGUGUCGGGUGUGAAAUCCCACGGCUUACCCGUGGAAUGGCACCCGAAACUGCGGGGCUAGAGUGCAGGAGGGGAGAGCGGAAUUCUUAGUGUAGCGGUGAAAUGCGUUGAUAUUAAGAAGAACACCGGCGGCGAAGGCGGCUCUCUGGAAUGUAACUGACGCUGAGGCACGAAAGUUGGGGGAGCAAACAGGAUUAGAUACCCUGGUAGUCCCAACCGUAAACGGUGUGAACUUGGUGUAGGGGGUAUUGACCCCCCCUGUGCCGGAGCUAACGCGUUAAGUUCACCGCCUGGGGAGUACGGCCGCAAGGCUAAAACUCAAAGAAAUUGACGGGGGCCCGCACAAGCGGAGGAGCAUGUGGCUUAAUUCGAUGCAACGCGAAGAACCUUACCUGGGCUUGACAUGGGGACCCUUCGGGGGUGGUAGCGAAAGUUACCUUUACCAUCACAGGUGCUGCAUGGCUGUCGUCAGUUCGUGCCGUGAGGUGUUUGGUUAAGUCCAGCAACGAACGCAACCCUUGUGACUAGUUACCAGCGUCGGUGAUGAGCCGGCAGGCACUCUAGUCAGACUGCCCGUACAAGCGGGAGGAAGGUGGGGAUGACGUCAAGUCAGUAUGGCCCUUACGCCCAGGGCUGCACACGUGCUACAAUGGUCAGUACAGAAGGAUGCAAAACCGCAAGGUCGAGCAAAUCCCCAAAGCUGGCCCCAGUUCGGAUUGGAGUCUGCAACUCGACUCCAUGAAGUCGGAUUCGCUAGUAACGGCGUAUCAGCUACGACGCCGUGAAUACGUUCCCGGGCCUUGUACACACCGCCCGUCACAUCAAAAGCCGUCUGCACCCGAAGUCGCUGAGCCAACCCGCAAGGGAGGCAAGUGCCGAAGGUGUGGGUGGUGAUUGG
rnacentral:rRNA from 1 species